rnacentral:sRNA from 1 species
AACUGUGUAAUUCGCUCGAAAAAGAAACGAAGACAAUGUAUAUACAAAUAUGCAAGAAUCACAGGAAACCCACAUAUCCAACCACCUAGAUGAAGUUGUUGCUGCUGUUAGCAUCACUCAUAGAAAGAAGUUCCAAAACAAGCUGCUUCAGACAGCACUAUUCCAGCCUCCUCGAGAGAAACUCCACCUCUGUGAAGAGAAAGCAAAGUCCUAUUCCAACAGUCAUGAGGUAAGGAGACUUUUGUUUCUGUAUUUCUACUCUGAGAAUUGAGCUAUAUGGUAUAAUCAAGAGAAGUAGAAUGUUUUGGAUUACAUUCCUAAUCUCAGCAGUUUGAUACAAGAAAGUAUAUAAGACAG